GAGAUGGUGGGGGAGGAGGAGGUGGGGGUGGCGGCGGUGGUGGUGGACUUGGAGGUGGUGGGGAUGGUGGGGGAGGAGGCGGCGGUGGUGGAGGUCUUGGAGGCGGUGGAGAUGGCGGGGGAGGAGAAGGAGGCGGCGGCGGUGGAUGCUUUGGAGGCGGUGGAGAUGGCGGAGGGGGAGAAGGAGGAGGUGGCGGCGGAUACCUUGGAGGCGGUGGUCGUGG